rnacentral:misc_RNA from 1 species
AGCAGCCGCGGUAAUUCCAGCUCCAAUAGCGUAUAUUAAAGUUGUUGCAGUUAAAAAGCUCGUAGUUGAAUUUCGGGGUUAGUAGGUUGGUCAUGCCUCUGGUAUGUACUGGUCUCACUGAUUCCUCCUUCCUGAUGAGCCGUAAUGCCAUUAAUUUGGUGUUGCGGGGAAUUUGGACUGUUACUUUAGAAAAAUUAGAGUGUUUAAAGCAAGCUAACGCUUGAAUACAUUAGCAUGGAAUAAUGAAAUAGGACGUUCGAUCCUAUUUUGUUGGUUUCUAGGAUUGACGUAAUGAUUAAUAGGGAUAGUUGGGGGCAUUAGUAUUCAAUUGUCAGAGGUGAAAUUCUUGGAUUUAUUGAAGACUAACUACCGCGAAAGCAUUUGCCAAGGAUGUUUUCAUUAAUCAAGAACGAAAGUUAGGGGAUCGAAGACGAUCAGAUACCGUCGUAGUCUUAACCAUAAACUAUGCCGACUAGGGAUCGGAUGAUGUUAAUUUUUAAUGUACUCAUUCGGCGCCUUA